GGAUGCGAUCAUACCAGCACUAAAGCACCGGAUCCCAUUAGAACUCCGAAGUUAAGCGUGCUUGGGCGAGAGUAGUACUAGGAUGGGUGACCUCCUGGGAAGUCCUUGUGUUGCAUUCC
rnacentral:rRNA from 1 species